GUAGAGGACAAAUAGGUGGAGUGAAUCAAGGAAGGAUAAGGGGAGAGUUUUUAGGAGAAAAUCAAGGAAUUUGAGAAGGGGGAGUGUUGUGACGUUUAGGGAGUUUUCAGCUUGGGAAAUUCGGUUGGAGUUAGGUUGUGCUAAAUUUGGCUUAGGCAUUUUUGGGUAAUCGAUUUUUUGGUUGAUUCUUCUUCUACUUGUCUUGGUUUUUUUAGUUUUGUUUAGCAGGUAUUGGAUUUUGAGGUUGAAUUGUGGCAAGUUUCUUCACGGGUUUUGUUAACUUUUUCUAUUUUGUGUUCUUUUUCUCUUUUCUCUCUACUUCCCGAAUAUUCCUCUCUUCUCCCCUCU
rnacentral:lncRNA from 1 species